ACUCAAAUGAAUUGACGGGGGCCCGCACAAGCGGUGGAGCAUGUGGUUUAAUUCGAUGCAACGCGAAAAACCUUACCUACCCUUGACAUCUUUGGAAUUCUGCCCAGAAGCGGAAGUGCCGAAAGGAACCAAAAGACAGGUGCUGCAUGGCUGUCGUCAGCUCGUGUUGUGAGAUGUUGGGUUAAGUCCCGUAACGAGCGCAACCCUUGUCCUUAGUUGCUAACAGUUCGGCUGAGCACUCUAAGGAGACUGCCGGUGAUGAAUCGGAGGAAGGCGGGGAUGAUGUCAAGUCAUCAUGGCCUUUAUGGGUAGGGCAACACACGUGCUACAAUGGGGUAUACAGAGGGUAGCCAACUCGCGAGAGGGAGCCAAUCUCAAAAAGUAUCUCGUAGUCCGGAUUGGAGUCUGCAACUCGACUCCAUGAAGUCGGAAUCGCUAGUAAUCGCGAAUCAGAAUGUCGCGGUGAAUACGUUCCCGGGCCUUGCACACACCGCCCGU
rnacentral:rRNA from 1 species